ensembl:lncRNA
AUAUAUUAAAUAAUGACACUUGUUCUAAUAGUACGAACCGAAACACUUUCAUAAAUACUAAUGAAAUAUAUUACAAUACUGGCAUACAACAAAAUAAUAAUGAUAAUAGUUUGAUGAAUGGUUUAAAUGCAAGUAGUAUGUACAAAAAGGCGAGUAUACACAAAAACGUAUCAAAAAAGUAUUAUAGUGAUAAAGAAGCAGAGACAAUAACCGGAACAGGAACAGGAACAGGAACAGGAGCAGGAACAGGAGCAGGAACAGGAGCGGGAACAGAANNNNNNNNNNCGGGAACAGAAACAGGUACAUGGAUAGGAAUAGGAACAGGAGCAGGAACAAGAACAGGAACAGGAACAGGAACAGGAAUAGGAACAGGAAUAGGAAUAGAAAAUGGUACAUAUCUAGAUAUAAAAUCCAUAAUUAACAAUGCCAUUGAAACAAAUAACAAUACUUUGACUUAUGAUGCACAUAACAAUUAUAUUAGUAUGUCUGAUGGUGGUAGUUUUAAUCAAAUGAAUGAUGAUGAGUAUUAUGAUAGGUAUAGUGGUAAUGUUAACAGUUGUGGUAGUAGUAAUUCUUUAAAUAAAGAAACGUAUAUGCACGUAGAAAAUUAUAAUAAUGUGAAUAGAUACAGUAACAAAAAUAGUAGUACCAACCGUUACACCAGUAAUAAUAACAUUUCUUAUGAGUAUAAUUACAAUAAAUAUAUUAAUGACAAUAUGAAUAACAGCUCAGAACAAGAGCAAAUACAAGAGCAAAUACAAGAGCAAAUGCAAGAGCAAAUACAAGAACAAAUACAAGAACAAAUACAAGAGCAAAUACAAGAACAAAUACAAGAACAAAUACAAGAACAAAUACAAGAACAAGAAAAAAACCUAAAACCAACCACAUUUUCAUCUUGUAACUACGAAGAGAAUACUAAAAAUACAUCUAUAGAUAAAAUAAAUUAUAAAAACAAUGGAGUAGCAAAGAAUAAUAUGGGUACCACUGGUACUAGUGAGCAAAACAAUGUACUAAUUACUGGCGAUAAUAAAUACUCAUAUAAUAAUAUAUGUAAUGAUAUGUUUUAUGGUAAUGUUGAUAUUUAUAAUAUUUUUUCUAGGUUUGACUCAAUAAAAAUAUAUGAAGGCAAUAACAAUGGCAAUUUUAACAAUGGCAGUUUUAACAAUGGCAGUUUUAACAAUGGCAGUUUUAACAAUGGUAGCCGUAACAAUAGCAACAGUAACAAUAGCAACAGUAACAAUAGCAACAGUAAUAACUGCAAUCGUAAAAGUAGCAGCGGCUAUAAUUGUUAUGACCAAAGUGUACAUAAUAAUACUACCAAUAUAUUAAAUAAUAAAUUUUGUGAUGACCAUGAAAUGAAUGAAAAACAUGGGUUACCAUCAUCUAAUGGAUUCAUAAACGAAGACAUUAGGAUUGAUAUAUUAGAAGCGACUGCACCGAAUAAUAGUUCUCCUGAUAUUUCUACUGUUGACACCAGUGUUAAUACUACUUUUAAUAGUAUUACUAAUAGCACUAUCAACAGCACUAUCAAUAGUAAUAGCAGUAGUAGUAGUAGUAGUAGUAGCAAUAGCAGUAAUAAGGACGUAAUACAUAAAUCUAAAAAAAUUGUAAAUACCAAACAUGAGGAUGUACAAAAUUUAAAUAAUAAUUUUGCAAAAAAUAAUAAAUUUAAUGAACUGGAUGCAAUUGAAAAAGAUUUAGAAUUACAUAUCAAGGCAUUAUGGAAUAUAAGAAAAAUAAAGUUAGUUGAAUCAUAUGGUGUUCAGAAUAAUUAAUUAUUUUUUAACACAAGUGGUGUACCUAUAUACAUACAUAUAUA